AACCAUUCUCACCUGCGGCUAGACCUGCGGAGGGAUCAUUAUCGAGUGUAACUGACCCCCUAAAAAAGGGUAGUACCUCCCGUCCUUUGCAGGCCCCCUUUUUAUGGGGGGCUUUUUUUAAGACUUUCUGCUUCGGCGGGGUUACUCCCGCCGGAACACCCUCAAAAAACUCUCAAAAAAACCGUUCAGUCCGAGAACUUUUUAAAAAUAUAAAAAAAAACUUUCAGCAACGGAUCUCAG
rnacentral:misc_RNA from 1 species